rnacentral:rRNA from 1 species
CAGUAGCCACGGGAAUACGGAGGGUGCAAGCGUUAAUCGGAAUUACUGGGCGUAAAGCGCACGCAGGCGGUCUGUCAAGUCAGAUGUGAAAUCCCCGGGCUUAACCUGGGAACUGCAUUUGAAACUGGCAGGCUAGAGUCUUGUAGAGGGGGGUAGAAUUCCAGGUGUAGCGGUGAAAUGCGUAGAGAUCUGGAGGAAUACCGGUGGCGAAGGCGGCCCCCUGGACAAAGACUGACGCUCAGGUGCGAAAGCGUGGGGAGCAAACAGGAUUAGAUACCCCGGUAGUCCCUGUCUCUUAUAA